rnacentral:rRNA from 1 species
UACGUAGGGGGCUAGCGUUGUCCGGAUUUAUUGGGCGUAAAGAGCUCGUAGGUGGUUCGGUAAGUCGGAUGUGAAAAUCUCCAGGCUCAACCUGGAGGGGGUCAUUCGAUACUGCCGUGACUAGAGUUCGGUAGAGGAGUGUGGAAUUCCUGGUGGAGCGGUGAAAUGCGCAGAGAUCAGGAGGAACACCCGUAGCGAAGGCGGCACUCUGGGCCGAUACUGACACUGAGGAGCGAAAAGCGUGGGGAGCGAACAGG